rnacentral:rRNA from 1 species
UACCGCAUGACGUCUACGGACCAAAGAUUUUAUCUCCCAGAGAUCAGCCCGCGUUGGAUUAGCUAGUUGGGGGGUAAUGGCCCACCAAGGCACGACCCAUAGCUGGUUUGAGAGGAUGAUCAGCAACACUGGGACUGAGACACGGCCCAGACUCCUACGGGAGGCAGCAGUGGGGAAUCUUGGACAAUGGGCGCAAGCCUGAUCCAGCCAUGCCGCGUGAGCGAUGAAGGCCUUAGGGUUGUAAAGCUCUUUCACCGGUGAAGAUAAUGACGGUAGCCGGAGAAGAAGCCCCGGCUAACUCCGUG